rnacentral:rRNA from 1 species
AGCAGUAGCCGCGGGAAUACGUAGGGUGCGAGCGUUAAUCGGAAUUACUGGGCGUAAAGCGUGCGCAGGCGGUUGUGUAAGACAGGUGUGAAAUCCCCGGGCUUAACCUGGGAACUGCGCUUGUGACUGCACAGCUAGAGUAUGGCAGAGGGGGGUGGAAUUCCACGUGUAGCAGUGAAAUGCGUAGAGAUGUGGAGGAAUACCGAAGGCGAAGGCAGCCCCUUGGGAAUGUACUGACGCUCAUGUGCGAAAGCGUGGGGAGCAAACAGGAUUAGAUACCCCGGUAGUCCCUGUCUCUUAUAC